GACGUAGGGCGCGAGCGUUGUCCGGAUUUAUUGGGCGUAAAGAGCUCGUAGGCGGCUUGUCGCGUCGUCCGUGAAAACUUGGGGCUCAACCCCAAGCUUGCGGUCGAUACGGGCAGGCUCGAGUUCGGUAGGGGAGACUGGAAUUCCUGGUGUAGCGGUGAAAUGCGCAGAUAUCAGGAGGAACACCGGUGGCGAAGGCGGGUCUCUGGGCCGAUAUCGACGCUGAGGAGCGAAAGCGUGGGGAGCGAACAGG
rnacentral:rRNA from 1 species